rnacentral:rRNA from 1 species
AGUGAACGCUGGCGGUAGGCCUAACACAUGCAAGUCGAACGGCAGCACAGUAAGAGCUUGCUCUUACGGGUGGCGAGUGGCGUACGGGUGAGGAAUACAUCGGAAUCUACUUUUUCGUGGGGGAUAACGUAGGGAAACUUACGCUAAUACCGCAUACGACCUACGGGUGAAAGCAGGGGAUCUUCGGACCUUGCGCGAAUGAAUGAGCCGAUGUCGGAUUAGCUAGUUGGCGGGGUAAAGGCCCACCAAGGCGACGAUCCGUAGCUGGUCUGAGAGGAUGAUCGGCCACACUGGAACUGAGACACGGUCCAGACUCCUACGGGAGGCAGCAGUGGGGAAUAUUGGACAAUGGGCGCAAGCCUGAUCCAGCCAUACCGCGUGGGUGAAGAAGGCCUUCGGGUUGUAAAGCCCUUUUGUUGGGAAAGAAAAGCAGCAGGUUAAUACCCCGCUGUUCUGACGGUACCCAAAGAAUAAGCACCGGCUAACUUCGUG